rnacentral:rRNA from 2 species
GAUGAACGCUGGCGGCGUGCCUAACACAUGCAAGUCGAGCGAGAAAUUAGCAUGCAGAGAUUUCGGUUGAAGCGAGCUAAUGGAAAGCGGCGGACGGGUGAGUAACGCGUAGGCAACCUGCCCAUAGGAGAGGGAUAGCCUUGGGAAACUAGGAUUAACACCUCAUAAUACUAAGCAUUCACAUGUUUGUUUAGUCAAAUAUUUAUAGCCUAUGGAUGGGCCUGCGUCAGAUUACGCUAGUUGGUAAGGUAACGGCUUACCAAGGCUACGAUCUGUAACCGACCUGAGAGGGUAAUCGGUCACAUUGGAACUGAGACACGGUCCAAACUCCUACGGGAGGCAGCAGUGGGGAAUAUUGCACAAUGGGGGAAACCCUGAUGCAGCAACGCCGCGUGAGCGAAGAAGGUCCUAUGGAUUGUAAAGCUCUGUCCUAAAGGAAGAAACAAAUGACGGUACUUUAGGAGGAAGCCCCGGCUAACUACGUGCCAGCAGCCGCGGUAAUACGUAGGGGGCGAGCGUUAUCCGGAAUUAUUGGGCGUAAAGAGUGCGUAGGCGGUUUGAUAAGCAAGGGGUGAAAGGCAAUGGCUUAACCAUUGUAAGCCUUUUGAACUAUCAGGCUUGAGUGCAGGAGGGGAAAGCGGAACUCCCAGUGUAGCGGUGGAAUGCGUAGAUAUUGGGAAGAACACCGGAGGCGAAGGCGGCUUUCUGGACUGUAACUGACGCUGAGGCACGAAAGCGUGGGGAGCAAACAGGAUUAGAUACCCUGGUAGUCCACGCUGUAAACGAUGAGUACUAGAUGUUGGCGUAUUAAAGCGUCGGUGUCGAAGUUAACGCAUUAAGUACUCCGCCUGGGGAGUACGCACGCAAGUGUGAAACUCAAAGGAAUUGACGGGGACCCGCACAAGCAGCGGAGCAUGUGGUUUAAUUCGAAGCAACGCGAAGAACCUUACCAAGGCUUGACAUCUCUCUGACCGGUUUUUAGUCGAACCUUCCCUUCGGGGCAGAGAAGACAGGUGGUGCAUGGUUGUCGUCAGCUCGUGUCGUGAGAUGUUGGGUUAAGUCCCGCAACGAGCGCAACCCUUGUCGUUAGUUACCAUCAUUCAGUUGGGGACUCUAGCGAGACUGCCGGGGAUAACUCGGAGGAAGGUGGGGAUGACGUCAAAUCAUCAUGCCCCUUAUGUCUUGGGCUACACACGUGCUACAAUGGUCGGUACAAAGCGAAGCGAGACUGUGAAGUGGAGCAAAUCGCAAAAACCGAUCCCAGUUCGGAUUGUAGGCUGCAACUCGCCUACAUGAAGUCGGAGUUGCUAGUAAUCGCAGAUCAGAAUGCUGCGGUGAAUGCGUUCCCGGGUC